AAGUGAGAGUGGCUUCUUCCACAAAUAGACCUCCUAAUGAGCUCAAAUAAGGUUUGCUUGCUAUCCGAACAUUUGAGCUCUGCUGCUUUGAAGAUCUUAGUUCCCAAGAAUAUAUUGCCUCUCCCAGGGGACACCACAAUGAUUCCCUUGAGUGGAACUAACAGUCAGAAAAGGAGGCAACUUUACUGGAAGGACUGUUUGGUGCUAACGAGGGGAAAUCGGGCUGCUGUGUCACACAUUGGGGGCAGGAAGGACUUCACCUACAACCCCGAGUACUCAUCAUCUUAGUACUUCUGCCUACUCAGACCCUUCAAGAAUGAAGGUUUAGAUCUUCCCACCAGUGUUAACUUUUAUCAGCCUAAACAAAUGGGUAAGAAGAUAGUAUUUUCAAGCCUCAUAGUAACCUUAAACCAAAGAACUACAAUGGAUACACAAAAAAUAGAAAGCAAGAACCUAAAUUGUGUCAUCAGAGAAAAUCACCUUCACAAAAAGGAAGACAAGAAGGAAAGAAGGAAGAGAAGAUCAUGAAACAACCAGAAAACAAAUAACAAAAUGGCAGGAGUAAGUUCUUACUUAUCAAUAAUAACAUCAAAUGUAAAUGGACUAAACUCUCUAAACAAAAUAGAGUGGCUGAAUGGAUUAAAAAAGAUACAAUAAUCUGUUGCCUACAAGAAACAUACUUAACCUAUAAAUCGACUGAAAAUAAACGGAUGGAAAAAAUAUUCCAUGCCAAUGGAAACAAACAAACCAAAAAUCCGGAAUAGCUACACUUAUAUCAGACAAAAUGGAUUUUAAAACAAUAACUCUAAGAGACACAAAGGUCACUAUAUAAUGACUUCAUGACUAAAACACCAAAAGCAAUUGCAACAAAAGCCAAAAUAGGCAAAUGGGAUCUAAUUAAACUAAAGAGCUUCUGCACAGCAAAAGAAACUAUCAUCAGAGUGAACAGGCAACCUACAGAAUGGGAGAAAAUUUUUGCAAUCUACCCAUCUGACAAAGGGCUAAUAUCCAGAAUCUACAAAGAACUUAAACAAAUUUACAAGAAAAAAUCAAACAACCCAUCGAACAGUGGGCAAAGGAUAUGAACAGACACUUUUCCAAAGAAGACAUUUAUGCAGCCAGUAGACAUAUGCAAAAAUGCUCAUCAUCACUGGUCAUCAGAGAAAUGCAAAUCAAAACCACAAUGAGAUACCAUCUCACACCAGUUAGAAUGGCAAUCAUUAAAAAGUCAGAAAACGACAGAUGCUGGAGAGGAUGUGGAGAAAUAGGAACACUUUUACGCUGUUGGUGGGAGUGUAAAUUAGUUCAACCAUUGUGGAAGACAGUGUGGCUAUUUCUCAAGGAUCUAGAACUAGAAAUAUCAUUUGACCCAGUGAUCCCAUUUCUGGGUAUAUACCCAAAGGAUUAUAAAUCAUGCUACAAUAAAGACACAUGCACACGUAUGUUUAUGUGGCACUAUUGACAAUAGCAAAGACUUGGAAUCAACCCAUCAAUGAUAGACUGCAUUAAGAAAAUGUGGCAUAUAUACACCAUGGAAUACUAUGCAGCCAUAAAAAAGGAUGAGUUCAUGUCUUUUGCAGGGACAUGGAUGAAGCUGGAAAUCAUCAUUCCAAGAAAACUAUCACAAUGACAGAAAACCAAAACCAAACACCACAUAUUCUCACUCAUAGGUGGGAGUUGAACAACGAGAACACAUGGACACAGGGUGGGAAACAUCACACACCAGGGCCUGUUGGGGAUGGGGGGCUGGGGCAGGGACAGCAUUAGGAGAAAUACCUAAGGUAAAUGACGAGUUAAUGGGUGCAGCAAACCAACAUGACACAGGUAUACCUAUGUAACAAACCUGCACGCUGUGCACAUGUACCCUAGAACUUAAAGUAUAAUAAAAAAUCAAUAAAAAAAUUUUAAAAA